UCCAGACUCCUACGGGAGGCAGCAGUGGGGAAUAUUGCACAAUGGGGGGAACCCUGAUGCAGCGACGCCGCGUGAGUGAAGAAGUCAUUCGUGAUGUAAAGCUCUAUCAGCAGGGAAGAAAAUGACGGUACCUGACUAAGAAGCCCCGGCUAACUACGUGCCAGCAGCCGCGGUAAUACGUAGGGGGCAAGCGUUAUCCGGAUUUACUGGGGGUAAAGGGAGCGUAGACGGCAGCGCAAGUCCGAAGUGAAAGCCCGGGGCCCAACCCCGGGACUGCUUUGGAAACUGUGAAGCUGGAGUGCGGGAGGGGCAGGCGGAAUUCCUGGUGUAGCGGUGAAAUGCGUAGAUAUCAGGAGGAACACCGGCGGCGAAGGCGGCCUGCUGGACCGUAACUGACGUUGAGGCUCGAAAGCGUGGGGAGCAAACAGGAUUAGAUACCCGAGUAGG
rnacentral:rRNA from 1 species